rnacentral:lncRNA from 1 species
UUGGCAGUGCAAGGCUGAGAAAGGUAAAACAUUCACACUUAAGUUGCAUUUGUGAUCCUUGCAGCUAUCAUUUUUAUUUAUCUUGUGCUGUAUUAAUUGAAACCUUGAACUUUUGUAGGUUGUCUUGAGUAAUAUUAAUCAGCUGGUAUAUCACACAGUAGCAUUUCUGCAAAUAACUGAACAACAGGCAAGUGUUUGUUUGUCUAUCUUAUUUGGUAAUUUUCUGUUAUUUGUCUUUUUACGGGAACAGUAGAUCUCCAGUAGCAUUGCGACCUAAUACCAUUCCCUCAUUCUGCCACUUCUGUUGUGCAUCUUGCUCCCCUAGGGCCUAACUCUUAUGAAGGGUUGGGGAGGAAACAGGA